GACGAACGCUGGCGGCGUGCUUAACACAUGCAAGUCGAACGGAAAGGCCCUGCUUUUGUGGGGUGCUCGAGUGGCGAACGGGUGAGUAGCACGUGAGUAACCUGCCCUUGACUUUGGGAUAACUUCAGGAAACUGGGGCUAAUACCGGAUAGGAGCUCCUGCUGCAUGGUGGGGGUUGGAAAGUUUCGGCGGUUGGGGAUGGACUCGCGGCUUAUCAGCUUGUUGGUGGGGUAGUGGCUUACCAAGGCUUUGACGGGUAGCCGGCCUGAGAGGGUGACCGGCCAAAUUGGGACUGAGAUACGGCGCAGACUCCUACGGGAGGCAGCAGGGGGGAAUAUUGCACAAUGGGCGGAAGCCUGAUGCAGCAACGCCGCGUGCGGGAUGACGGCCUUCGGGUUGUAAACCGCUUUCGCCUGUGACGAAGCGUGAGUGACGGUAAUGGGUAAAGAAGCACCGGCUAACUACGUG
rnacentral:rRNA from 1 species